rnacentral:rRNA from 1 species
GAGGAAUAUUGGUCAAUGGGCGCGAGCCUGAACCAGCCAAGUAGCGUGCAGGAUGACGGCCCUAUGGGUUGUAAACUGCUUUUGUAUGGGGAUAAAGUCAAUCACGUGUGAUUGUUUGCAGGUACCAUACGAAUAAGGACCGGCUAAUUCCGUGCCAGCAGCCGCGGUAAUACGGAAGGUUCGGGCGUUAUCCGGAUUUAUUGGGUUUAAAGGGAGCGUAGGCCGGAGAUUAAGUGUGUUGUGAAAUGUAGACGCUCAACGUCUGAAUUGCAGCGCAUACUGGUUUCCUUGAGUACGCACAACGUUGGCGGAAUUCGUCGUGUAGCGGUGAAAUGCUUAGAUAUGACGAAGAACUCCGAUUGCGAAGGCAGCUGACGGGAGCGCAACUGACGCUUAAGCUCGAAGGUGCGGGUAUCAAACAGGAUUAGAUACCCUGGUAGUCCGCACAGUAAACGAUGGAUGCCCGCUGUUGGUACCUGGUAUCAGCGGCUAAGCGAAAGCAUUAAGCAUCCCACCUGGGGAGUACGCCGGCAACGGUG